rnacentral:lncRNA from 1 species
CUCAUCUGAUAACUGAUGAAUUACCAUGACCGCCUUUCAAAAUUAACAUCGGAUGCAAUACCAACUUGAAUACAGCAAAUUAAUAGCUUGUUUUUAUUGAUAAAUUAUCCAUAGUCUUCCACAAUGAGUUUCGAUUGCAAAUAUUCUGUUAACUACAGCACUGGUAAAAGUUGCUUUCCAUCAAGUGAACAGUUUCAAAUAAAUUCGGUUCAAUAUAUUUUCACAAAAAUUCCGCCAUCUUGAUUAUCUUCUUGACAAAACGAUAUUGUGCGAUAGAGCACGCAAACAUUCCUG